UACGAAGGGGGCUAGCGUUGUUCGGAUUUACUGGGCGUAAAGCGCACGUAGGCGGAUCGUUAAGUCAGGGGGUGAAAUCCUGGAGCUCAACUCCAGAACUGCCUUUGAUACUGGCGAUCUUGAGUCCGGAAGAGGUGAGUGGAACUCCUAGUGUAGAGGUGGAAUUCGUAGAUAUUAGGAAGAACACCAGUGGCGAAGGCGGCUCACUGGUCCGGUACUGACGCUGAGGUGCGAAAGCGUGGGGAGCAAACAGG
rnacentral:rRNA from 1 species